rnacentral:ncRNA from 1 species
CCUAGCUAUACUUUAAAAUUAAUUCCUCUUGUUUUAAUUUAUAAAGUAUUCUGGGCCACACGCCAAUUUAUUAAUAUAUCAUUUAGAUUUAUUUUAAGUUAUAAAAUACAACUGCAACAUUAAGUAACUUUCGUGAAAUAUGAAGUGGUGGUGAAGGGUCUCUUGACUUUUUGAAAUGAUAAAUUGGCUAUCUCUU